UACGUAGGGUGCGAGCGUUAAUCGGAAUUACUGGGCGUAAAGGGCGCGUAGGCGGCCUGUUAAGUCGAACGUGAAAUCCCCGGGCUCAACCCGGGAACUGCGUCCGAUACUGGCAGGCUUGAAUCCGGGAGAGGGAUGCGGAAUUCCAGGUGUAGCGGUGAAAUGCGUAGAUAUCUGGAGGAACACCGGUGGCGAAGGCGGCAUUCUGGACCGACAUUGACGCUGAGGAGCGAAAGCCAGGGGAGCAAACGGG
rnacentral:rRNA from 1 species